rnacentral:rRNA from 1 species
AUUGAACGCUGGCGGCAUGCCUUACACAUGCAAGUCGAACGGCAGCACGGGAGCAAUCCUGGUGGCGAGUGGCGAACGGGUGAGUAAUAUAUCGGAACGUGCCCAGUCGUGGGGGAUAACGCAGCGAAAGCUGUGCUAAUACCGCAUACGAUCUAUGGAUGAAAGCGGGGGAUCGCAAGACCUCGCGCGAUUGGAGCGGCCGAUAUCAGAUUAGCUAGUUGGUGAGGUAAAGGCUCACCAAGGCGACGAUCUGUAGCUGGUCUGAGAGGACGACCAGCCACACUGGAACUGAGACACGGUCCAGACUCCUACGGGAGGCAGCAGUGGGGAAUUUUGGACAAUGGGCGAAAGCCUGAUCCAGCAAUGCCGCGUGCAGGAUGAAGGCCUUCGGGUUGUAAACUGCUUUUGUACGGAACGAAACGGUGAGCUCUAAUACAGUUUGCUAAUGACGGUACCGUAAGAAUAAGCACCGGCUAACUACGUGCCAGCAGCAGCCGCCG